UACGGAGGGGACUAGCGUUGUUCGGAAUUACUGGGCGUAAAGCGCACGUAGGCGGAUUUGUUAGUCAGGGGUGAAAUCCUGGAGCUCAACUCCAGAACUGCCUUUGAUACUGAGGAUCUUGAGUACGGGAGAGGUGAGUGGAACUGCGAGUGUAGAGGUGAAAUUCGUAGAUAUUCGCAAGAACACCAGUGGCGAAGGCGGCUCACUGGCCCGUAACUGACGCUGAGGCACGAAAGCGUGGGGAGCAAACAGG
rnacentral:rRNA from 1 species